UACGUAGGGACCGAGCGUUGUCCGGAAUCAUUGGGCGUAAAGCGCGCGUAGGCGGCCCGGUAAGUCCGUUGUGAAAGUCAAAGGCUCAACCUUUGAAUGCCGAUGGAUACUGCCGGGCUCGAGUCCGGAAGAGGCGAGUGGAAUUCCUGGUGUAGCGGUGGAAUGCGCAGAUAUCAGGAGGAACACCGAUAGCGAAGGCAGCUCGCUGGGACGGUACUGACGCUAAGGCGCGAAAGCGUGGGGAGCGAACAGG
rnacentral:rRNA from 1 species